ACCCUACUGCUUCUUAAAAUUGAGAGAGUGAUUUUUCCAUGAUAGGAUAGUGAAUCAGCUGUAUUUCUGCCUCUAAGGAACUAUAUUUUAAAUCUCAAUCCAAUUACAUUAGCCUCUUAAAAGAAAAGAAAAACCACUGUACUCUGGACCUUUGGGCUAGGAUCUUGGUUUGGUCAUUCAUCAGACAUUUUUCUGCUGUAAGUUAGCUAGUUGGAUCACUUUCCCACCCAGCAUCAGAGUUUCAUUUGCACUGAUUACCCCACAUUCCACAAAAAAAGUCAUUAGGAAUUCUGUUUCAGUGAAUAAAAGAAUGUAAAUGAGGUAAUUAUGAGCUCCACUUACCUUCCUAACCCCAUGCAUUGUGACAUCAUUAAUGCCUUCCCAUGAUCUGUUCACUGGAAAAGUCAGGAAGAUGGAAAAGCAACAUUGUUGGGAAAGAAGAUUAGAGUCAAGUUUACCUUUGUGUCUUCUUUUGGUGGGGGGAGAUCUUUUGAGAAUAAAGGAAGAAAAAGAGAAGAAGAAAACAAAGAGAAAGAGAUACAGGCCCAGUGAUGAGGACAGAGGCAAGGGCAGUUCAUUUUACAGGAGUGUCUUCCUAUUGCUAUUGAUGAAUACAGCAGCUGGAGGGAGUAGGAACGAGGAUGAGGUGGCAGAAAUUAAGAGGAAGGAAAAAAAUCAUUUUCAAAAUGAUAAUGUGAGUGAUGAGUAAUAGGUAAACAAAUAUGACAUUUGGCAUUUGUACCAAUAGUAUUCUGUCUGUAAGCCCUUUCAUCUUUUUCUCUAGAUGUAGGCCAUCAGUUUUACACUAUAAUGCCCUUCUAGAUUUUAGAUAGGUUUUUUUGGUAACAGAAGUAAUAACUUCUUGAAUCAAUCAAUCAAUAAAUAGUGCUGAGUACAUAAUAAUUGUCUAAUA
rnacentral:lncRNA from 1 species